rnacentral:rRNA from 1 species
UGAACGCUGGCGGCGUGCCUACUACAUGCAAGUCGAGCGAACAGACGAGGAGCUUGCUCCUCUGACGUUAGCGGCGGACGGGUGAGUAACACGUGGAUAACCUACCUAUAAGACUGGGAUAACUUCGGGAAACCGGAGCUAAUACCGGAUAAUAUAUUGAACCGCAUGGUUCAAUAGUGAAAGACGGUUUUGCUGUCACUUAUAGAUGGAUCCGCGCCGCAUUAGCUAGUUGGUAAGGUAACGGCUUACCAAGGCAACGAUGCGUAGCCGACCUGAGAGGGUGAUCGGCCACACUGGAACUGAGACACGGUCCAGACUCCUACGGGAGGCAGCAGUAGGGAAUCUUCCGCAAUGGGCGAAAGCCUGACGGAGCAACGCCGCGUGAGUGAUGAAGGUCUUCGGAUCGUAAAACUCUGUUAUUAGGGAAGAACAAAUGUGUAAGUAACUAUGCACGUCUUGACAGUACCUAAUCAGAAAGCCACGGCUAACUACGUG